UGACGUUGUAACCAUGAUUUGGCAGAUGUACAUGCAGAUGUGGAAUAGCACCACCCUAGUAUGGUUGUAACUCCAGCGACUCAGCGGGAUAUACGAUGCUGUUUCACUCCCCCAUCAUGUGAUUGGCAGCUCACAGGAGCCAUCUAACUUCUUGUAAGAUGAUGAAGGUUUUAUGUAAGGAAGCUACCUUUUUGUUAUAUAGCUAGCGAACCCAUGGAUGAUUUCCUUCUUCACUUUCACAAACUAUUUUCUACUCAAAAGCAGAAUGUUGCUUUGCUUCAUGACAAGUACUAGAGUUCAUGCUCGAGAAGAAGACGCAAGCCAGAGUUGAUGCGAGAGGAGCUUGUGGAGGCCAAGGAGAAAUCCGCAAAGUAUCAGUUGUUACUUAAAAGAGUUGGUGCCAUGUUAUGUUACUGGUUCUAUAAUUAUAAUAAGUUACUUGUGGACAAUGUGGACAACGUCCAUUUUAUGAACAUGGUGUAAUGGUACAAAGUAACUAGUUGUUUUUUCUGGUUGGCAGAUCUUA